ensembl:lincRNA Gm3764 predicted gene 3764
ACGCCCCACACACAUUCAAUCACAGCCUCAAGUUCAAAAGUGAAUUAAAACUCAAAGAAGCCUGGGGACAGGGACAAGAGUACUUCUGUCAUUCAUUCUCUUCCCCUGCUUCCUUGGGGACAAGGGUGGCCUGGAGGAACAAUAGUGUCCCCUGGCCCCUUCUUCCUGCAUUGGGUUAGAAAAGGCAGCAGAAAGCAGUGGGGAUGACAAAGACACACACACACACACACACACACACACACACACACACACACACACACCCCAGGCUUGAGAAGGGAGGAGGAGGAGGCGUCUCUGGCUGGACGGACAGACUGUUAUUUUGGUGGUGGGCAUGGUCCCAGAUAGGGGCAGCGUUCCCCUUUUUCCUGGCUUUUCAGGGAGAGCAGCAAGAGAAAGAAAGAAGCAAACGAAAUUCCUGAAUGGAUAAGAGAUGCUACGUCAGCGGUACUGGAGCCGCAUCCUCCACUCCACGAGAAGAGAAGAGCUAGGAGAGACCAGCGGGCGGUAGCUGCGGCGAGUGGCCUCUCCGUGCGGCACAGAGGCAAGAAGCAGCCAUCCAUCCAGAAGCAGCCUCCGUGUUCCGUUUGUCCGGAUGUCAUCGUAGGUGGCCGGCAUCUCUGGCUUUGGGGUAUUUAUUUCCUUCCUUGCUUUGAUGGUGGUGUGGGUGGGGGAGGGGAAAAGGGAAGCUAGUCCUGUUCCACCCCAGCUCUCCACCCCACUCGCUGUCUCUUCUAGGCUUUGAUUUUGGUCCAUUUUGUAGUAAGAACUGCAUUGUCAAAGCUAAGAAGCAAUGCAAACAACAUAGCCUGGGGACAAAAGGCCACCCUGUGUCUGGUUCGGUGCAGAGAGGAAAGCGCCCUCCCUCUUCUUCCACAGCUCCCUGGGGACGAGAUGGGGGUCUUUGACUCUGGGGAAGUGGUUGAGAAAGGUUUGAGAAAGGGACAGAGAUAGCUAAGGGGGUGUCAGGUGAGCCAGGAGAGCAGUAUAGAUUGGGAUGGAUGGGGUGGGGGGAGCUGGGUCUUUAAGUCGCUGAGUGGGUACAUGAGCACCUUUAGCAUUGGGAGAUAAUGCUACUUGCCUUGUCCAUGAAUUUACCACUGAAUGUGUCUGAGUUUAUGGGUGUGAGAGUGCAUGCCUGUGAUUGAGUAUGGGUGUGCUUUACACACUCGCGCUUUUGACCAGAGAAGAGCUUAUGGGAAACAUGGAUGACUAAGCUGACCCCUGGCCAUCUUAGUCACCAUGUCUCAUUUCCCUACAAUGUAGGACUGGGGCAAUAGGCAUGUGAGUCCAUGGGGAGCAGACCAGGAGGAGCUGGGAAGGCUGAAAAUGCUCCCACUUCCAGGAAGGGUGUGUCUCAGGGGCCACCUCCUCUAAAUGGAGUCUCCAGGCAUCCUAACCUCAUCAGUGCAUUGCUAACUGCUGUUACUUUUAUUUGUCCCAAUGCUAUACACAUUGCAGGCAUUCAGUGACAGAAUACUGUUUAAUAGUAGCCACAGUAAUUAGUAGCACAGUAAUUCUGUUGCAGAGAUAAGCACACCCCCAGAUAAAGCUCUGAGUGUAUCUUUAAGGCAAAUCCACCUUGCAAACAAGGGAAAACUAUGUUUUUAUUAUACUUUCUAAGCAUUAAUCCCUUAUGCACUACUUUACUAUUUCAAGAAAGUGCUUUACUGCCAAAGUUUACAUAGAGUCUCAAAAGGUCCAGUCCAGACAGCAUAACUGAGCCUGUGCUUCUGUCUCUGUAGGCCCUUCAGACUCAGAGACAAUAGGUGGGCAGCUGUAUUGAGAGGGGACAUUGGCUUUGGUUGUAGCUGUGCCUCAAGGCUUAGGUGUUUGCCUAGUAUGUAUUGAGCCCUGGGUUUGAUCCCAGGAACCCCCAAAGGAUGAAGGCUCCUGGAACACCCACAGACCCCUAUUAGCACAAAGAGUUGAAAUGUCCUCCCAAGAAGUAGUCACAGUGAGAGCCACAGGCCACCAGAGAGUAGACUGCUUUGUGCUGGAGGAGACAGAAAGGGCUCUGCUCCUUAGGAGACUGAGGCUGGUGAGCCAAUCCAGCCCUCUGGGCGCUUGUGCCCAGCCCUGAGUCCUGCAGACUUGCUGCAUCCAUUGCUGUUCUCUGUUGUCUCCUCUGACACAAAUACAUUUCUCAAAGAUUCUGCAUAAACCUUCCCUACUGUUUUGGUUUGUGAAGGAAGAAUACAAUACGUCAG